GACGGAAAAUCUUAUUGGAUUUUUCAGGAAUUUCUAGAAAUUUUUCGGGAUUUAAACGGAGUCUGUAUGACCCAUUUUAGGGGGAUAGAUUCUGGGUACAGAGGAGGUCUGUUUGGAAUACCCAAAGGUGGGAAUUGAUUGAGGAGUGGACUUAGGCUUUGAUUAAGCUAAAUUAGGUUUGGGGAUUAAUGCUACAGUAACCUACCUUAUAAGCGCCGAGGACCCCUCUUUUCCCCCGAUUCUUCUUCCUCCCCUGUCCACUUCGUCCCGAUCCUCACCGGCGAUUCUCCUCCUCCUCCUUAUCUCGGUGUCGCCGGCGUGGCUGAUGGUGGAGUGCUUAGGAGGGAAGACAAGCUACGGGCGUUUCUCUCCUUCCUCCCAUUCUCGAUUCCCAUCGCAUCUCAGUCGUGAUGCCGGCGAUUCUUGAUCGCGCCAGUGAUGUCCAGCCCAUCGCCACCGGACCUUCCUUCUCCAUCCCGAUUGCUGAUGCCCCGUCUCCCUCCUCCCUCUCCCGUUCGUGAUGCUGGAAUCCAUCGACCCACGGGAUGCCGUAGCCGUUCUUGAAGCUGUGCCCUAGCUCAGAUUCGUCGCCGACAACCACUCUUUCCCCCACCCGAUGUGUUUCUCUCGCAACCUCUUCUGAUCGUUGGUCGCACUACCACGGCCUCGCUGCCUCGCCGUGUACUGGAGUCUCGAUCGAGUGCCACCACCAGGGAACGAUUAGUCUAGGUAAGUUUCAUCUGGAUUUGUUUUAACUCUGAAUCUUGCUCAAUUGUCUCCAUUUAGCUGUUCUUCCUGUUCUGGAUUGGAUGAAGGCAUCAGAUCGAAAUAUUGGAGGAUUGCACUGUUGCCGAUCACUGCCACUCCAACUCUUGAAGCUGUGGAGGUCACGGGUGUGAAGGAAUUCUUGGUGGUUGUGUGCAGAGAUUGGUAGAGGGCUGUUGAGCUACUGGGUUUGUUGCCAUACCUCAAGGACUUGGAUUCGGGACGAGCGUCUCGACACGGGAUUACU